GACGAACGCUGGCGGCGUGCCUAAUACAUGCAAGUAGAACGCUGAAGGAGGAGCUUGCUUCUCUGGAUGAGUUGCGAACGGGUGAGUAACGCGUAGGUAACCUGCCUGGUAGCGGGGGAUAACUAUUGGAAACGAUAGCUAAUACCGCAUAAUAGUAGAUGUUGCAUGACAUUUGCUUAAAAGGUGCAAUUGCAUCACUACCAGAUGGACCUGCGUUGUAUUAGCUAGUUGGUGGGGUACCGGCUCACCAAGGCGACGAUACAUAGCCGACCUGAGAGGGUGAUCGGCCACACUGGGACUGAGACACGGCCCAGACUCCUACGGGAGGCAGCAGUAGGGAAUCUUCGGCAAUGGACGGAAGUCUGACCGAGCAACGCCGCGUGAGUGAAGAAGGUUUUCGGAUCGUAAAGCUCUGUUGUAAGAGAAGAACGAGUGUGAGAGUGGAAAGUUCACACUGUGACGGUAUCUUACCAGAAAGAGACGGCUAACUACGUG
rnacentral:rRNA from 1 species